UCGCAAAGCAUCUUGGUCUAGGAGGCCGAU
rnacentral:piRNA from 1 species